rnacentral:rRNA from 1 species
AUCGAUGAAGAACGCAGCGAAAUGCGAUAAGUAGUGUGAAUUGCAGAAUUCAGUGAAUCAUCGAAUCUUUGAACGCACAUUGCGCCCCUUGGUAUUCCAUGGGGCAUGCCUGUUCGAGCGUCAUCUACACCCUCAAGCUCUGCUUGGUGUUGGGCGUCUGUCCCCGCCUCUGCGCGUGGACUCGCCCCAAAUUCAUUGGCAGCGGUGUCUUUUUGCCCCAGUCUUGCGCAGCACAUUGCGCUUGCAGAACUGCGGCGGCCCGCGAUCCAACAAGCUCCUUUCACCGUCUUUGACCUCGGAUCAGGUAGGGAUACCCGCUGAACUUAAGCAUAUCAAUAAGCGGAGGAAAAGAAACCAACAGGGAUUGCCCUAGUAACGGCGAGUGAAGCGGCAACAGCUCAAAUUUGAAAUCUGGCUCUCUUUGGGAGUCCGAGUUGUAAUUUGCAGAGGGUGCUUUGGCAUUGGCGGCGGUCUAAGUUCCUUGGAACAGGACAUCGCAGAGGGUGAGAAUCCCGUACGUGGGCGCCUGCCUUUGCCGUGUAAAGCCCCUUCGACGAGUCGAGUUGUUUGGGAAUGCAGCUCUAAAUGGGAGGUAAAUUUCUUCUAAAGCUAAAUACCGGCCAGAGACCGAUAGCGCACAAGUAGAGUGAUCGAAAGAUGAAAAGUACUUUGGAAAGAGAGUCAAAUAGCACGUGAAAUUGUUGAAAGGGAAGCGCUUGCAGCCAGACUUGCCCGCAGUUGCUCACCCAGGCUCCGGCCUGGGGCACUCUUCUGCGAGCAGGCCAGCAUCAGUUUGGGCGGUUGGAUAAAGGCCUCUGUCACGUAUCUCCCUUCGGGGUGACCUUAUAGGGGAGGCGCAAUGCAACCAGCCCGGACUGAGGUCCGCGCAUCUGCUAGGAUGCUGGCGUAAUGGCUGUAAGCGGCCCGUCUUGAAACACGG